UUGGAGGGCAAGUCUGGUGCCAGCAGCCGCGGUAAUUCCAGCUCCAAUAGCGUAUAUUAAAGUUGUUGCAGUUAAAAAGCUCGUAGUUGAAUUUCGGGAUCAGAUUGUCGGUCGUGUCUCGGUACGCACUGGCAUUAUUGGUUCCUACCUUCUGAAGAACCGCGAUGUCAUUAAUUUGGUGUCGUGGGGAAUCAGGACUGUUACUUUGAAAAAAUUAGAGUGUUUAAAGCAGGCGCACGCUUGAAUACAUUAGCAUGGAAUAAUGAAAUAGGACGUUUGAUUCUAUUUUGUUGGUUUCUAGGAUCGACGUAAUGAUUAAUAGGGAUAGUUGGGGGCAUUAGUAUUCAAUUGUCAGAGGUGAAAUUCUUGGAUUUAUUGAAGACUAACUACUGCGAAAGCAUUUGCCAAGGAUGUUUUCAUUAAUCAAGAACGAAAGUUAGGGGAUCGAAGACGAUCAGAUACCGUCGUAGUCUUAACCAUAAACUAUGCCGACUAGGGAUCGGAUGAUGUUAAUUUUUUAAUGACUCAUUCGGCGCCUUACGGGAAAC
rnacentral:rRNA from 1 species